UCGAAUACACCUCAGAUCAGACAAACCCGCGAUUUAAGCAAUUACUAAGCGAGGGAAAAGAAAUAACAAGAUUCCCUAUACGGCGACGAAGAGAAGAGCCCAGCCGAUCCCGCCGACACGGCGUGGAAAUGUGGUACGGAAGACCGCUUGCCCGUGCCGAUCGGGCCCAAUCCUUCUGAUCGAGCCCAUCCCACGGACGGUGAGCCGUGGCGCCCUUCGCCGGGUUCGUCUCUCGAUCGGUUGUUGGGAAGCAGCCCAAGGGUGUAAUCCACUAAGCUAAAUACGGCACGAACCGAUAGACGACAAGUACCGUAAGGAAAGUUGAAAAGAACUUGAAGAAGAGUUCAACAGGCGAAACCUAAGAGGUAAACGGUGGUCCGCGCAGUCGCCCGGGAUCAACCGGCGCCCGGACGCCGGCGUGUGAGAUCCCUCGCGGACCUCCCCCCCGCUGCCCCCCGGGCAUUCCUCCGCGCGUGCGUCGCACCGCUCCGUUCGCCAGAAGGCUGGCGAAGUGCUCCGCCUCGCCCGAGCUUUACCAGCGCCUCUCCCCGAUCGCGCUUACCGGGCCGGACUCUGUGCUCCUGCCCUCUCUCCCCUAACCGGGAGGACGGGCCCCUCGCUCCCGCGACUGUCGACGGACGACUUCUCAGUGCCUCACCGCGCGCCGCAGGGGGAUCGCCACCCAAAGCGCAACGGUCCGCAUGUCGGCUACCCACCCGACCCGUCUGAACACGACCAAGUCUAACGCGCCGCGAGUCAAAGGUCUCACGAACCCGAGCGCAAUGAAGUGAGGCUGGCCCGCCAGCUGAUGGAUCCCGGCCCCGCGCCCGGCACCACCCCCGUCCGCCCGCUCCUCGGGAGUGGCUGAGGCGUCGAUAGACCCGAAAGAUGUGAACUAUGCCUGGGCAGGCGAAGCCAAGAAACUUGGUGAGCCCGUACGUCCUGACGUGCAAAUCGUCGCGCCUGUUAGGGCGAAAGACUAAUCGAACAUCUAGUAGCUGGUUCCCUCCGAAUUUCCCUCAGAAGCUGCGCUCAAUCUCGCAGUUUAUCUGUAAAGCGAAUGAUAGAUCUUGGCCAAACAUCUCAACCUAUUCUCAAACUUAAUGUAAACCCGGCUCGCUGGGCCGGCGGAAUGCGAGCUGCCCAGGGCCACUUUGUAAGCAAACUGCGCUGCGGAACCGACGCCGGUUAGCGCCCGAUCCGACGCUCAACCCAGAAAGUGUUGAUAUAACAGCAGACGUGGCCAUGAAUUGGAAUCCCUAAGGAGUGGUAACAACUCACCUGCCGAAUCAACUAGCCCUGAAAAUGAUGCCUGAGCGUCGGCCAUACCCGGCCGUCGCCGCAAUAGAGCCGCGAGGCUACGCCGCACAGUAGAGGCCGCCGGGUGAGCCGGAGCCUAGGCCGACCCGGUGACCGCCCGGUGCAAUCUGGUGUAGAAAAUUCAACGAGAAUUGAAGGCCGAAGUGGAAGGUUCCAUUGAACAGCAUGAACAUGGUCAGUCGUCCUAAGAUGGCGAACGCCGUCGAAGCGCGGGCAUGUCCUACGUCCCCCGCCGAUCGAAGGAUCGGGUUCAAAUCCCGAACCUGAGGUGGAAUAGCGCCGCCGCCAGUGCGGUAACGCAAACGAACCCGAGAAGCUGGCGGGCCCCGGGGAGUUCUCUUCUUUGAAGCAGGCGCCUGGAAUGGUUCGCCCGAAUAGGCCGUGCCCUGGAAAGCGUCGCGGUCCGCGGCGUCGGUGCUCUCGGCCCUUGAAAAUCCGGGGGAAGUAAGUCUCACCCAACCGUACCAUAUCCGCAGAUCUCCAAGUGACAGCCUCUGGCAUUAGAACAACACUAAGGAUCGCAAGUCGAUCCUAACUUCGGAUAAGAUUGCUCUAAGGCUGGUCGUCGGGCUGGGUCAACGGGUGGCUCGCGCCGCGCUGGGGACAGUCGCCCGUCGCCCUCCUCUCCCGCCGCGAAGCGCGUGCCGCCGCCUCGCGGGCUCGCUCGCGGCGCCUCGCGCGUCGUACGCGUGGUUUCGCGGGCGGUCCCGCCCGCGGGAAGCGGGCCGGCGGGGAGCGGUCGGCGGGCUGCGCCGACUCGGACGCGCCGGCCUCUCGCGAUCACCUCACCGGUGCCCGUCGGUCCCCUCGCGGGCUCCCCGGCGGUCGCCUCGGCUGGCCUACACUGACUUAGAACUGUGCGGACCAGGGAAUCCGACUGUUAAUUAAACAAAGCAUCGCGAAGCCACGUGGUUGACCGAUUAUUUCUGCCCAGUCCGAAUUCAAGUGAAGAUUCAUGAAGCGGGGUAAACGCGGAGAACUAUGACUCUCUUAGGUAGCCAAAGCCCGUCAUCUAAUAUGACGCGCAUGAAGAUGAACAGAUCCACUGUCCCUACUGCUAUCUAGCGAAACCACAGCCAAGGAACGGCUGGCAAAAUCAGCGGGAAAAAACCUUGAGCUUACUAGUGGCACUGUAAGACAUGAGAGUGUAGAUAAGUGGGCUUCGGCGCGUGAAAUACCACUACUCUUAUCUUUUUCACUUACCCGGUGAGGCGGAGCGAGCCCGAGCGGCUCUCGCUUCUGUGUCAAGCGCCCGGCACCCGCGGCUGACCCGCUCCGGGACAGUGCAGGUGGAUUGACUGGGCGUACACUGUCAACUGUAACAGGUCCUAAGCGAGCUCAGGAGACAGAACCUCCGUGGAGCAGAAGGGCAAAACUCGUGAUCUGAUUCAGUAUGAAUACAGACGUGAAAGCGGCCUCACGAUCCUUCUGACUUUGGGUUUAAGCAGAGUGUCCAGAAAAGUACCACAGGAUAACUGCUUUGGCCCAACGUCAUAGCGACUCGCUUUUGAUCCUUCGGUCGCUCUUCCUAUCAUUGUGAGCAGAAUCACCAACGUGAUUGUCACCACUAUAGGAACGGAGCUGUUAGACUGUGAGACAGUUAUUUACCCUACUGAGUGUGUUGCAAUAUAAUCCUGCUCAGUACGAGAGACCGCAGUUCAACAUUUGGUGUAUGUUGGCUGAGCAAUGGUGCGAGCUACCAUCUGCGGAUUAGACGAACGCCUCUAGUCAGAAUCCUGCCUAGACGCAGUGAUACCGUAGCGUGGGAUCUUCGGUUGGUCUCGGAUAGCCGGCCCGCCGGUGAAGGAGAGCCAUUCGUGACUGGGCUGGGGACGGCCCGACGACGGUCGCCCUCUCCAAUCGCGCACUCAUGUUUGUGGAGAACCUGGUGCUAAAUAACUUGUAAACGACCUGAUUCUGGGUCAGGGUCUUGUGCGUAGCAGAGCAGCUAAUCGCUGCGAUCUAUUGAAAGUCAGCCUC
rnacentral:rRNA from 1 species